rnacentral:rRNA from 1 species
UUGCCUACGGGAGGCAGCAGUGGGGAAUAUUGCACAAUGGGGGGAACCCUGAUGCAGCGACGCCGCGUGGGUGAAGAAGUCAUUCGUGACGUAAAGCCCUAUCAGCAGGGAAGAAAAUGACGGUACCUGACUAAGAAGCCCCGGCUAACUACGUGCCAGCAGCCGCGGUAAUACGUAGGGGGCAAGCGUUAUCCGGAUUUACUGGGUGUAAAGGGAGCGUAGACGGCCAUGCAAGCCAGAGGUGAAAGCCCGGGGCCCAACCCCGGGACUGCCCUUGGAACUGUGCGGCU